CUUGUCUCCGAACGUAUACCACAGGGCUGACGGACAGCACUGUGGCCGAAUCGCUUCCUCAGCUGUGGAGGUCUGCUCUAAUCCAGGAUGAGUUUCCCUGAAGCACAACGUGCAGCUUGUAUCAAAGUUCCUGACCGAGCAGGAGAACCCACUCUCAAUCUCCCCAACCUCUUACUCAAAGUGCAGCCAUGGAGCCAAGGAUGAAAGCAUCCCACUCAAGGUACAUCAUUAUUCAAAGGAAGCUGCCUCCACAGCAGGGGUCGCCACACCCUUCCCCUUAAGACGGAGUCCCCACAGGGAUCACCGCAAACUCCACAAAAAAAAACAUAACUACUACCUCACCACCCUCUACAUUAAAACUACGCCCCACCUCUGCAACCAGAAACAAAGUCCAUCGCAUCAGACGCUGGUUUGGUCAGGUCUCUGUAGAUCGUGGUUCCUUCGGGACCCUGGUCCUGACACCUACCGUGGCCAUGCUGACGCCUGCUGCUGCCAUCAUCAUCAUCAUCAUUAUUUUUGAUAUUAAUCAUAUUACUUUACUCAUAAACCGACAUUACCCUCUCCUAAAAUCUCUGUGCUCUCCCUCCCCACAGGAUUCUGUGGAUGGUGGUUCUAUCUGAUGGUGGUUGCCUCUGCAGUGGUCCUGCUGUGCGCCUGGCUUACUACUCACAAUUACUUGAAUCAUUUCUGUCAUAGGAAUUGCAUGUAUUAUACAUUGUUCAUUCUGUACACAUGGCAUCCAUUGUAGUCUGUCCAUCCCGGGAGUGGGAUCCCUCCUCUGACGUUCUCCCUAAGGUUUCUUCCCUUUUUUCCCUGUUGGAGGGUUUUUUCAUUUUUUGGGGAGUUUUUCCUGUGCCGAUGGUGGGUUUCGGGGCAGAGGAUGUUGUAUGUGUACAGACUGUAAAGCCCUCUGAGGCAAAUUUGUAAUUUGCGAUUCUGGGCUAUACAAAAUAAAAUGAAUUGACUUGACUUGACUUGGUUUGGGGAGUGCAGCGAACUGAAAAAUGUCAAUGGGUUUUGAUCGGUAUACACAACUACUGGUUUUCCCCCAGUGCCGACAUAAACUUCAUUAAGCGCCAGUGUUUCCUUCUCUAUUGUUGAAUAGUUGCUCUGACAUGAAUUGAACUUCUUUGAGAAGUGGCUGAGGAACUUCAAGGGACCUGAAGGGGAACGGGAUCCAAGGAAGGCUCGCCGCCUAGCUUUGUGCUCCGGAGGAACUGAGGCUAAUUGCCUUCGUGAACACGACUACAUCUGAG
ensembl:lncRNA